AGCUGCACCAGACGUGAUCUCUGCUCAUCAAGUCUUCACUCCUCAAUUGACGACCGACACAUACCUCAACCACUGCAGAUUAACCAACCACUCAUCAGUAAAGCACAAAAUAAGAGAGUUUCCUACACUGAAGAUCUUCCUCAUUCAACCAACAACUGUGGGUGUUCAAGGCAUCCAAUCACACUUUGGCUAACUGAAAAAAGAAGACAAGAAAUACAAUGAAGACUUCCAUUUUCCUGCUGGUGGCGCUCUCUGUCAUUGUGCUCUGCAUGACUGACGGACGUGUUCGGAAAUUCCAAAACCAGCAUAUAAUCCGCGCAAUCCCACGAGGGGGAUGUGAUUUUCUGAUAGCAAACAGGAACAUCAGAGAUAAUAAUGGUAAAUGUAAGCGCGAGAAUACCUUCAUCAUUAGUAACUUUAAUCAAGUUAGAACAGUUUGUGAUCCAAGGAAUCGUAUCGAUGUGAAUAGAAAUCUUUAUGAAAGCCCCAGGAACAUGCGCAUUCUGUGUUGUAGACUGCUGGGACAAACAACUGAUACACAUUGUACAUACACAUCAACACCGAGAGAGAGCCAUAUUGUAAUUGCAUGUAAUAAUAUCAGAAAUGUCCUUCAGCCUGUACA